rnacentral:rRNA from 1 species
UCCGGUUGAUCCUGGCGGAGGCCAUUGCUAUCGGGGUCCGAUUUAGCCAUGCUAGUUGUGCGGGUUAGACCCGCAGCAAAUAGCUCCGUAACACGUGGCCAAACUACCCUACGGAGGAGAAUAACCUCGGGAAACUGAGGCUAACACUCCAUACGGUUCCGACGCUGGAACGCCCGGAACCGGAAACGUUCCGACGCCGUAGGAUGUGGCUGCGGCCGAUUAGGUAGACGGUGGGGUAACGGCCCACCGUGCCGAUAAUCGGUACGGGUUGUGAGAGCAAGAGCCCGGAGACGGAAUCUGAGACAAGAUUCCGGGCCCUACGGGGCGCAGCAGGCGCGAAACCUUUACACUGCACGACAGUGCGAUAAGGGGACCCCGAGUGCGAGGGCAUACAGUCCUCGCUUUUCUGAACGGUAAGGACGUUCAGGAACAAGUGCUGGGCAAGACCGGUGCCAGCCGCCGCGGUAAUACCGGCAGCACGAGUGAUGGCCGAUCUUAUUGGGCCUAAAGCGUCCGUAGCUGGCCGAGCAAGUUCGUCGGGAAAUCCACCAGCCCAACUGGCGGACGUCCGGCGAAAACUGUUCGGCUUGGAGCCGGAAGACCCAAGGGGUACGUCCGGGGUAGGAGUGAAAUCCCGUAAUCCCGGACGGACCGCCGAUGGCGAAAGCACCUUGGGAAGACGGACUCGACAGUGAGGGACGAAAGCUGGGGUCUCGAACCGGAUUANAUACCCGGGUAGUCCCAGCCGUAAACGAUGCCUGCUAGGUGUGGCACUGGCUACNANCCANUGCUGUGCCNNANGGAANCCNUGAANCANGCCNCCUGGNA